rnacentral:misc_RNA from 1 species
GACUGCUGCUGCUGCUGUCCUCCUCCUCUGCACACCGUACAUUCAGCUAAAACUUUCCAAGAGAGGGCGGGGGCCGUUGGUUUCGUCGCUUCGUGGUACCGCGAAGAGGUGGAAGAGAACAGAGGCACGCCGUGCAGUCGUGUCGCAGUGACACGCACGCACACGCAACACAUUUGAAAGCCGAGCGAGACGCAGGAGACGUGGCCGUCGGAGUAUUCUUGGGUGAUACGCACGCCACUCUCCCGCCCUCCCCGUCGACUCCCUCCUCAGCCUCUCUGAGCGUGUUUGUGGGCAGCACUCUUCCCAGCGCCCUUUCCGCUGUUUCGUCAGAUUGGGUCGUCUUUGCAGAUUACUUCCCCCCACCCUCCCACCCACGAUCCGUUGGCGCCGCGACCAUGCUGUCGUACACCUCUGCGCUGCUGCGGGUGUUCAACCGCAAGAACAAGGCCCCGCAGCGCAUGUCGAACUUCACCAAGGUAACGAAUCUGAACAAAGCCGAAAAGGUGAAGAUUGAGACGGUCGAUGGCGACGUCGUCAAGGGUCGCGGACGUGUGCACCGCCGCUCGCACAGCGGGCUAAAGGAUGCGAUUGAAGAAAUGGAGCACCCGGCCAUCUGGCUAUGGUACCCGUGGCGCAAGAACCCGGAGCCGCCGACGCCGUACAUGCCAUCGCAGCGCGCGCUCAAGAACAUCCACGGCGCCAUCUUCACGAAUCUCAGCCCUAUUCAGAAGAAGAAGCAGGAGCAGAUGCUCUACGGCGUGAACAUCCCCGAGACGCGAGUCAUGCGGUUUGAGCAGCAGCACCCACUCCUCUCGACGGCGCUGAAGCAACUGGAUGGGCAGCCGAAGGGCUUCCCGUUCUGGUACAAGAAAUACCCGACGCGUCGCCACGCCUAUGAGCAGCGCUUCAGCGUACCGACGGAGAUGCUAGAGGGCUACAACGACAGCAUCAAGAAGGCCUUCAGCAUGAGCAUGAUGACGAUCCAAGAGAAGCAGUUUGCACAGGAGGCGAUGUACAUGGAACGGUACGCUGAGCACGACUUCGACACAACCAGCCCGGCCGUUCUGGCGGUGAAGCGGGCACUGAAGGUGCGCGUGCUGCGUAACCACUUGCUGACGAACCCGCACAACAACAUCGUGAAGACGAUCCUGGCAAACACCGAACGGAAGCUAAACCACACCCUUCGCCGGCUUCGCAAGGUGGACUUCAAACGGUACUGGGAGAUAAUCCGCGACCACGAUGUACAGGACGUGCUGCAACCGCCAAACCUCGUGACGUACAGGCAGGGCUCCUACUGGCGGUACGACUGGAACGCAGGGCUGGCGAUCAGCACGCAGCUCGCAGACGUGCUUGACCCUCGUGGCCUCAACGGCUGCGUUGAGACGGGCCGCUCCCGCUCCGAGGUGGCUCGAGACCUCGGUCUCUCCUACACCCGCCCGCUUCAGGAAAACGAGAAGAAGCAGCUCUCGGAACAGGCCGUCUACUACGAGCGGCUGGCGAAGUUCAAGAUGGAGCAGCCGGAGGCGGCACGCGCGCAGGAGCGGGAGCGCUUUGUCCGCAAGUUCUCCGGCAUGUUCCUCAAGAUGGAUAUGAAGUCGGGCGUCCCCGACUUUCCCAGCACGUACCGCAAGCUGCUCGGGACGCAGGUGGCGCGGUGGUCGUCGAAACGGCACGGCCCUAUGUAAGUCACUCGCCGGCGUUUUGCGCGAUGUGCGCUGCGCGGCACGUGCGUGUGCGCGCUGUCUCGCACAGCAGUCCACCUUGGCGACAAAACUCUUUUCGUCAUGUCGCUCUUGUCCCUUCGCUGCGUCUGUGCGUGUCUGCGUGUGUGUGUCUCGCUCACCGUAUCUACACUCUAACC